UGGGCACUCUAGAUAGACUGCCGGUGACAAACCGGAGGAAGGUGGGGAUGACGUCAAAUCAUCAUGCCCCUUAUGACCUGGGCUACACACGUACUACAAUGGCCGGUACAACGGGCUGCGAAAUCGCGAGAUGGAGCCAAUCCCAACAAAGCCGGUCUCAGUUCGGAUUGCAGGCUGCAACUCGCCUGCAUGAAGUCGGAAUUGCUAGUAAUCGCGGAUCAGCAUGCCGCGGUGAAUACGUUCCCGGGUCUUGUACACACCGCCCGUCACACCACGAGAGUUUAUAACACCCGAAGUCGGUGGGGUAACCGCAAGGAGCCAGCCGCCGAAGGUGGGAUAGAUGAUUGGGGUGAAGUCGUAACAAGGUAGCCGUAUCGGAAGGUGCGGCUGGAUCACCUCCUUU
rnacentral:rRNA from 1 species